UGGAGCAGCCUGGUAGCUCGUCGGGCUCAUAACCCGAAGGUCGUCGGUUCAAAUCCGGC
rnacentral:tRNA from 25 species